GCUCAGUGUGGAGAUGAAGCAGUGUGUGGAGCAGCUGGCCUGUAGGGGGCAGUACACAGCAGGAACCAAGACUGAUGUCAGUGUUGCUUGACUGGUGUGGAGAACUGGAGUCCACCUGCUGGGAUGUGACCAGGCACUUCUGCUCAGCCUGAGUUUGAGGAUGAAAUUUAAAGACAAUGUUU